AGCUACUGCAGACCUCUGGGGAGACUUCAGCACUGCAUCCAGUGCUGUUCCUAAUCAGGCUCCUCAGCAGUCCAACUGGGUCCAGUUCUGAAUGGUCAAAGCAGCGGAAUGGAACAAACUGAUGACCAAGAGGCUCUAGAGGCACCAGUUGGAAUCACA